UACGAAGGUCCCGAGCGUUGUUCGGAAUCACUGGGCGUAAAGGGAGCGUAGGCGGCGUGGUAAGUCAGAUGUGAAAUCCCGGGGCUCAACCCCGGAACUGCAUCCGAUACUGCCAUGCUCGAGGAUUGGAGAGGUAGCUGGAAUUCUUGGUGUAGCAGUGAAAUGCGUGGAGAUCAAGAGGAACACUCGUGGCGAAAGCGAGCUACUGGACAAUAUCUGACGCUGAGGCUCGAAGGCCAGGGUAGCGAAAGGG
rnacentral:rRNA from 1 species